GACGGACGCUGGCGGCGUGCCUAAUACAUGCAAGUUGAGCGCUGAAGGUUGGUACUUGUACCAACUGGAUGAGCAGCGAACGGGUGAGUAACGCGUGGGGAAUCUGCCUUUGAGCGGGGGACAACAUUUGGAAACGAAUGCUAAUACCGCAUAAAAACUUUAAACACAAGUUUUAAGUUUGAAAGAUGCAAUUGCAUCACUCAAAGAUGAUCCCGCGUUGUAUUAGCUAGUUGGUGAGGUAAAGGCUCACCAAGGCGAUGAUACAUAGCCGACCUGAGAGGGUGAUCGGCCACAUUGGGACUGAGACACGGCCCAAACUCCUACGGGAGGCAGCAGUAGGGAAUCUUCGGCAAUGGACGAAAGUCUGACCGAGCAACGCCGCGUGAGUGAAGAAGGUUGUCGGAUCGUAAAACUCUGUUGGUAGAGAAGAACGUUGGUGAGAGUGGAAAGCUCAUCAAGUGACGGUAACUACCCAGAAAGGGACGGCUAACUACGUG
rnacentral:rRNA from 1 species